AAAGAGGACUCACGUUUUUGUUCUGUUUCUGAGUGCCUACUAUAAGCCAGCACUGUUACAAACAUGGCGCUCAUUAUUCUCAUUUAUAGAUGUGAAAAACUAGGCCCAGAGAGGUUAAGAAACACAGCGAGUUCACACAGCUGAGCCAGCGUUGAAACCAUGGUUACCUCCCUCGGAAAAUUGACGCUUUCUUUUUCACAAAUCCACAACAGGUGGAGGUGGGGACGGCAGGAAAUGAGGGAUAAAUGGGGCGCCAAUACUCAGAUCUUGCCUGUCAGCUGGCAGGAGGAGUUUCGGAAACCCUUUCGGGGCUGCCCUAAACGAGUUGUUAUCUCUCCACUCUCUGCCUUCUUCGGGCACAAUUCAGGUUACGUGAUGGAAGAUACAGAUGGAGUUUUGCUUUUUAAAGUCCCAGGGAGAGCUGCGAUCACAGAGGGUUUCUCUGGUUCAGAUCCUGGGCGCGGACAUGGCACCACUCAUCAGGCCAUGCUGAGAUGGCAUCCUGCAUGCAAUGACUGGAAGGACCCACAACUAAGGUCCUGAAGGAUCUGGGUUUUGCUCCACAUCAACCAGGAGGGAUGGAAGAACAUUCUAAGACAGCACAAGAGAACCAGUUACCACCUGGAUGCCAUGUUUAAUAGAUCAGGAUUCAUAGCUAAGAAAAGGCAGAUCAUGAGCUGUCUCAAUCUUGGACACAUAUGAUAAAGACUCUGGUAAUUAAGUUGGGGGAGUGGUGGUCAAGAAUGCUCUCCAAUGUCAAGGGAAACCAUCUUAUUUUUAUUGAGCCCUGAAUUUAUGCCAGAAACAAUGCCACUGUAGCAUCCAGCAAGGAUGGUUGUUCACCUGUUCUGUCUACUCUGGGCUGCAGAAUCUAAUGGCCAUAUAUGAAGUGGUCCAGACAUGACAAUUUUUGGAUAGUUCUUUGAGUGUUUAUGUGUCAGUGAAAAAUGGCCACAAUCACUUUCAUUUGAGAAUAACGUACAGUUUUUAAGACAUAGCUAUAGAAAACAUUGUAUAGAGAAUAGAGUCCUGAGUUAGUGCUUGCUCAAAGGGCAAAGCACCCAGUGUUGAUCAAGCCAUGUCUCCUGUAGGUUUGGUUUGCCUUGGGCUCCUGUCCAUGGUAGGUGGUGUUGAGGCUCUCUGUCCUGCCAACCAGAAUGAUGCUGAGCUCAUCUGCAUCUCCUUUGCUUUGUCUGGUCUCUCAGCUCAGGCAGCUGCAGGCUUUCUCUCAGGGGCCUUGUGGUUACAGGAGUUCAUUUCAGAGAUGCUUUGGAAAGAUGAGGACACAAAACAGUUUUCCUCAUUGGGUCGAAAUAUGGAUGUCAAGUCAAUUCCUCUACCAACUACCCUCUAAUUCAGCGGAAGUCCAGGGCUCAAUAAUUUCUCAUCCAUUCAGCACCUUACAUUAGUCACU
rnacentral:lncRNA from 1 species